UUUUGUGGAGUUUUGUGGAGUGGAGUGCUCCCAGAGGUGCCCUUAGCCUCGCCGCUCCAUCCGCCUCCAGCCUCCUCCUCCGCGUCCCCAAGGGUAGCGGCUGUAAUGGCGGUCGUGCCGUGCUCUCACGCACGACCGCUGCGUCUCUCCAUCGAGUGUCACCGCAAGAGCCUUCCAGGACCUGCAAAGGAGAAGGGCUGCUUCAUGCUCCAGGAUGCCAAGCUCCGCUGGUUCUAAGUCCGCACCAUCAACAACAAGAAUCUUACGUACAAGCAGCUCGACGCGUUUUGUUGAUUGUUACUGAAGAAUCAUUCUACACAUUUUGUUGCAGAUAAAGACAAGUAAUGAUGCUUGUGUGCUGGUGCAGUAGGCUGCAUGCUCAUCGAUAGCGAGAUGUCUAUGGUAACUUCAUCAAUCUCGAUGAUUGCCGGCUCAAUAUCUCGGAGGAUAGACGAGAAAAUUACCACAUGAGGACAAAUGGGCGGAUGAGGACAAGCAGUGUGUAUCUUUAAUGGGCGGAUGAGGACAAGCAGUGUAUAUCUUUUUUUGGAAGCGGAUGGAUAAUAAGGCCGGUAGGGUGGAAGGGCUCUCAAUUAACAAAUAUCGAGAGACCUCUCGCAAUAGAUGCCUCCGCCUCCACUCCAGAAAGUUUUUUUUUCCUUUUUUGCGAAACUCUAGAAAGUUGUGGACACAAACGAAAAGAAACGGAGGAGCAAGCAUGUGGAAGAAAUGUUUCUCGUAUUAUUUAGGCUAAUUUUGAAGCUUGAAUAUUUUAAGGCUUCAAAUAAUGUUUAGAAAUAAUGGAAAAUUCAUCGAAAC